ensembl:snoRNA
AUCCUUUUGUAGUUCAUAAGCAUGAUGAUUGAGUGUUCACGUGCAUGAGUGAGAUAUGCCAUCCUUGAACCUUGUCAAGACAUUGGCACAUUACCCAUCUAAUA